AAAAUUAUGUUACUGCCACUUUCGGCAGUAACAACAGGCAAAAAAAAAAAAAAAAACCCUGGCCUUUUGCUCAGUUGUUUUUCAUCCCCCACCCCUGCCCACCUAUUAAACCAUCAGGGUUGCUCCGGCAGUAAAAAGCCAAUUGCUUCCCGAUUCUUGUGGGUCUCCAGAAGAAGGCAAGAGUAAUGAGGAAACUGUCUGUAUCAAUCACAGGCAAUUUUCCAAAUCCUCCCUUGCCUACGUUCGAAGGCACAGAAGACCAGGAAACAGCUUGCCUUUUUAUUUCUCCAGCAGCUCCUAUACUUUAAAAGGCGGGUCUGACGGUUUCUAGCUGCAGUGUUUGACCAGUGAGUAGGGAAAGAAGGAGAAAAAUCUUACGAUUGUUGAGAACAUGGCAUAAAACUCAAGACAUUCUUCCCAAAGUACUUCUAAAAAUGCCUAACAGUAACUUAUUUGGAACUAGAAAAUGUAACUUUUUUUACAUAAAAAGUAAUGUUAAUUCCUAGUUGUUAUAUUUCUGUUAUGUUCUCAUUGCAAAAAACAAUCCUACAUAUAAAGAACACCCUUCACUGCAAGAGGCUAAAUUACUCAUUACUUCCGAUCUCUGGAUGAAAGCAUAUCUGCAGAGGAGACAGCAACAGACACUGCCAGCUGAGACUGUGACAGAGGACAUAAUGUUGAAGAACAUGUCAUCCCCUCAUUUUUCUCUGAUAUCUUUGCCUUGUGAAGGGAUCUGAAAUUCCUGAAAUUUUGUACAAGUCACUCUCUGUUUUGGACCAAUACAAGUAUGGAUUUUGCCAAUUCUAAAAAGUACUUCAAGAUGA